rnacentral:rRNA from 1 species
GACGAACGCUGGCGGCGUGCUUAAUACAUGCAAGUCGAACGGAAAGGCCCUGCUCUUGUGGCGUGCUCGAGUGGCGAAAGGGUGAGUAACACGUGAGUAACCUGCCCUUGACUUUGGGAUAACUCCAGGAAACUGGGGCGAAUACCGGAUAGGAGCUCUUGCUGCACGGUGGGGGUUGGAAAGUUUCGGCGGUUGGGGAUGGACUCGCGGCUUAUCCUCUUGUUGGUGGGGUAGUGGCGUACCAAGGCUUUGACGGGUAGCCGGCCUGAGAGGGUGACCGGCCACAUUGGGACUGGGGUACGGCCAAGAGUCAUACGGGAGGCAGCGGUGGAAAUUAGUGCACACUGGGCGGAAGCCUUGAAGAGCAACUCCGCGUGCGGAAUGACGGCCUUCGGGGUAUAACCCGCUUUAGAGUGUAACGAACAGUGAGUGACGGUAAUGAGUAAAAAAGCACCGGCUAACUACGUG